GAUGAACGCUGGCGGCGUGCCUAAUACAUGCAAGUCGAGCGAACAGACGAGGAGCUUGCUCCUCUGACGUUAGCGGCGGACGGGUGAGUAACACGUGGAUAACCUACCUAUAAGACUGGGAUAACUUCGGGAAACCGGAGCUAAUACCGGAUAAUAUAUUGAACCGCAUGGUUCAAUAGUGAAAGACGGUUUUGCUGUCACUUAUAGAUGGAUCCGCGCCGCAUUAGCUAGUUGGUAAGGUAACGGCUUACCAAGGCAACGAUGCGUAGCCGACCUGAGAGGGUGAUGGGCCACACUGGAACUGAGACACGGUCCAGACUCCUACGAGAGGCAGCAGUAGGGAAUCUUCCGAAAUGGGCGAAAGCCUGACGGAGCAACGCCGCGUGAGUGAUGAAGGUCUUCGGAUCGUAAAGCUCUGUUAUUAGGGAAGAACAAAUGUGUAAGUAACUAUGCACGUCUUGACGGUACCUAAUCAGAAAGCCACGGCUAACUACGUG
rnacentral:rRNA from 1 species